rnacentral:tRNA from 1 species
GCCUUCGUGGUGUAGAGGUCAACACGCUAGACGGCGUAACCGAGAGGUCCGUGGUUCGAUUCCCUGUGAAGGCG